UCUAGAGGAGCCCUGAGGUUUUCUAAAGCUUUGUGUGGGUUUAAGGCAGUCUCCACGUAGGCUCGUAGCUGGCUGUUGGAGUCCCAAGCGCGGUUGCUCUGUUGUCCCCAGGCCUCAUACUUUCCUUUGCUUGCAACAUGAGUGAGAAAAUAAGUUGGUCUGGGGGAAAAGACACUUAGUGGAGCUUUGGACUCUCAAGGCAGCGAGGCCAACAGCAGCUCAUAGUUGUCUUGUGCUCACCAGAUGGAGAGGAUGGGGCCCUCAGUAAAAUGGGAGCUGUGGGAUCUGUCACAGCUGUCUGCCACUUCUAAGAUGAUGAUAGAGAAUGUGUGUCAGUGCAUGAACUUCUCCCAGUGAAUCAGAGCAUCACAGCGUGCCUGUAGCCUCUGCGGUGGCUGGGCACCUAAACAGCACUUCCUUUCCACGGGGGGAGGAGGAUGCCCAGCCUCCUGCUCUACAAGUGGCAGUUCCUAUUCCGGCAAAAGGCGAGUUUCCACCUGAUGUUAACCCUGUAGAGCCAGUGAGACAGCUGCACAAAUUGGACCUAAUGCUGCAGGCCUUUGAGCUGUUGCAGACUUCAGUGCUGCUAGCCCCCAGCCAUGAGGAGGGUUGUCUGGGGGAUACAAUCAGGACAGUAGGAUCUCUGAUGUGCAUCCAGCCCCCAAACGGACAAAAGGACACCUCCUCUGGGUCUGCGGUCUGGGGAUCAGGACAGCAUCUGGCCCCCUCAAAGACGAGGCGAGGCAGCUUGCAUGAAGCGAAGAUCCCCCGUGAAGCUUCACGCUGCCUCCUGCGCCAGGGAUGCUGCUCUCGGCUCUGAGUGGCAGCGGGACCUUUGGGGUUUUGGUGCCUGCACAUCACUGCUGCCGAGUUUGGCUGUGCCUUGCUUUUCCAUCAGCUCCAUCCCAUUUGCUGCUACACAGAGCCUUAAACUUGCAAAAGGGAUUUGUGAGCAGCUUGCUUGUCGAGAACAAAUGCUAGUCAAAAGAAAUGCAUGACUUACUGACCUUGAGUUCACUGAACCUUCAUCUUGAUGCUUCUGCACCACUAAGGAAUCGGCUGCUCUGAAAAUUAAAGUUCCCAGAUUAGAAUGGGAGCUCCAACAAAGGACCUGUAUGGUUUACAAAUACACAUCGAUUAGAGGACUUUAAAAGAGCUUUGUAAGAACAAUGGGAUUAUGAAAAGCAAAUGUUUAAGAGGCAAGCGACCAAUUGAGGUCAAAGUUGAUGAAAACCAGACUUCUGAAAAUAUGGUAUUUCUUAUUUGUGUUUUGGCUAACAACCUUAACUCUUUGUCCUUACCUGUUACGUUAUUCUUUUGGCCCUAGUCAUAUUGUCAAGCUGAUGUGCUGUACAAAGAGAUGAUGACUUUCACAGGGCCCUUGGUUUCUGUCUGCGCGCCUGGUAUUUAUUUUGCAGUGUCUGGGUCAUAUUGGUUUGUUGCAUCCUCCAAGUUUUAAUAUUUUUUUAAGGAAAUUUACAGGAAUAUUUCUAGUUGAUAUUGUUUUAAUGUGCUUAAAGCUAUGUAGCCAUUGUGUCACUUUUUUUCUUCCUGAAGAAAUGUGUCUAAAAACCCAAUAUCUCAAAGUUUUCCAUACUGUGUUAAGGCUAAUGAACCUUUAAUAGUUUAAUUUGCUUCUCAAGCUUUUUGAAGCUUCACAACUGCACCUCUUUCUAGGACAGAAAUAUGAGAGUUACUGUGAAGAGGAGCUGCAUGGCAGUUUCCUAGUUCCCAUACAGUCUUGUGCAUUGGGAGUAGAUUCUUCCCCUACAGUAGAGUGCAUUUGUGCAUACAGGUGACUGACAUGGAAGUAAGUGUGAGCAUGGCUAUUGUGUAUAUACAUGAAAAUCAGAUCAUUUUGAAAUAUAUACGUAGUAAAAUGGCAUAUGCUUUUCACGUGCUCAGGAAACAUCUGUGUGGAUAGAAAUAUUUUUUUUAACUGAGUUACAACCUUGGUUCUAAGGUUGUAACUCCUGUAUAUUUUACCUGCUUAAUUGAAAAGAUGUUUAUAUCAUGAGAACUUGGAAAACUGAGAGAACUUGUUUUGCUUACCCCAUAAUCUGCAGAGUUCGCUUUGAUGAUAGUAUGUCAUAAUUCCUCCUGGGUGCCAGUCAAAACAAAGACUUUGCACUGUACACAAGCAGCUCUUGUUUGGAUGGUUUUGGUAU